AAGGCUAAAUACUCCUGACUGACCGAUAGUGAACCAGUACCGUGAGGGAAAGGCGAAAAGAACCCCGGCGAGGGGAGUGAAAAAGAACCUGAAACCGUGUACGUACAAGCAGUGGGAGCCUCUUUUAUGGGGUGACUGCGUACCUUUUGUAUAAUGGGUCAGCGACUUAUAUUCUGUAGCAAGGUUAACCGAAUAGGGGAGCCGAAGGGAAACCGAGUCUUAACCGGGCGUUAAGUUGCAGGGUAUAGACCCGAAACCCGGUGAUCUAGCCAUGGGCAGGUUGAAGGUUGGGUAACACUAACUGGAGGACCGAACCGACUAAUGUUGAAAAAUUAGCGGAUGACUUGUGGCUGGGGGUGAAAGGCCAAUCAAACCGGGAGAUAGCUGGUUCUCCCCGAAAGCUAUUUAGGUAGCGCCUCGUGAAUUCAUCUCCGGGGGUAGAGCACUGUUUCGGCAAGGGGGUCAUCCCGACUUACCAACCCGAUGCAAACUGCGAAUACCGGAGAAUGUUAUCACGGGAGACACACGGCGGGUGCUAACGUCCGUCGUGAAGAGGGAAACAACCCAGACCGCCAGCUAAGGUCCCAAAGUCAUGGUUAAGUGGGAAACGAUGUGGGAAGGCCCAGACAGCCAGGAUGUUGGCUUAGAAGCAGCCAUCAUUUAAAGAAAGCGUAAUAGCUCACUGGUCGAGUCGGCCUGCGCGGAAGAUGUAACGGGGCUAAACCAUGCACCGAAGCUGCGGCAGCGACACUGUGUGUUGUUGGGUAGGGGAGCGUUCUGUAAGCCUGUGAAGGUGUACUGUGAGGUAUGCUGGAGGUAUCAGAAGUGCGAAUGCUGACAUAAGUAACGAUAAAGCGGGUGAAAAGCCCGCUCGCCGGAAGACCAAGGGUUCCUGUCCAACGUUAAUCGGGGCAGGGUGAGUCGACCCCUAAGGCGAGGCCGAAAGGCGUAGUCGAUGGGAAACAGGUUAAUAUUCCUGUACUUGGUGUUACUGCGAAGGGGGGACGGAGAAGGCUAUGUUGGCCGGGCGACGGUUGUCCCGGUUUAAGCGUGUAGGCUGGUUUUCCAGGCAAAUCCGGAAAAUCAAGGCUGAGGCGUGAUGACGAGGCACUACGGUGCUGAAGCAACAAAUGCCCUGCUUCCAGGAAAAGCCUCUAAGCAUCAGGUAACAUCAAAUCGUACCCCAAACCGACACAGGUGGUCAGGUAGAGAAUACCAAGGCGCUUGAGAGAACUCGGGUGAAGGAACUAGGCAAAAUGGUGCCGUAACUUCGGGAGAAGGCACGCUGAUAUGUAGGUGAAGUCCCUCGCGGAUGGAGCUGAAAUCAGUCGAAGAUACCAGCUGGCUGCAACUGUUUAUUAAAAACACAGCACUGUGCAAACACGAAAGUGGACGUAUACGGUGUGACGCCUGCCCGGUGCCGGAAGGUUAAUUGAUGGGGUCAGCGCAAGCGAAGCUCUUGAUCGAAGCCCCGGUAAACGGCGGCCGUAACUAUAACGGUCCUAAGGUAGCGAAAUUCCUUGUCGGGUAAGUUCCGACCUGCACGAAUGGCGUAAUGAUGGCCAGGCUGUCUCCACCCGAGACUCAGUGAAAUUGAACUCGCUGUGAAGAUGCAGUGUACCCGCGGCAAGACGGAAAGACCCCGUGAACCUUUACUAUAGCUUGACACUGAACAUUGAGCCUUGAUGUGUAGGAUAGGUGGGAGGCUUUGAAGUGUGGACGCCAGUCUGCAUGGAGCCGACCUUGAAAUACCACCCUUUAAUGUUUGAUGUUCUAACGUGGACCCGUGAUCCGGGUUGCGGACAGUGUCUGGUGGGUAGUUUGACUGGGGCGGUCUCCUCCUAAAGAGUAACGGAGGAGCACGAAGGUUGGCUAAUCCUGGUCGGACAUCAGGAGGUUAGUGCAAUGGCAUAAGCCAGCUUGACUGCGAGCGUGACGGCGCGAGCAGGUGCGAAAGCAGGUCAUAGUGAUCCGGUGGUUCUGAAUGGAAGGGCCAUCGCUCAACGGAUAAAAGGUACUCCGGGGAUAACAGGCUGAUACCGCCCAAGAGUUCAUAUCGACGGCGGUGUUUGGCACCUCGAUGUCGGCUCAUCACAUCCUGGGGCUGAAGUAGGUCCCAAGGGUAUGGCUGUUCGCCAUUUAAAGUGGUACGCGAGCUGGGUUUAGAACGUCGUGAGACAGUUCGGUCCCUAUCUGCCGUGGGCGCUGGAGAACUGAGGGGGGCUGCUCCUAGUACGAGAGGACCGGAGUGGACGCAUCACUGGUGUUCGGGUUGUCAUGCCAAUGGCACUGCCCGGUAGCUAAAUGCGGAAGAGAUAAGUGCUGAAAGCAUCUAAGCACGAAACUUGCCCCGAGAUGAGUUCUCCCUGACCCUUUAAGGGUCCUGAAGGAACGUUGAAGACGACGACGUUGAUAGGCCGGGUGUGUAAGCGCAGCGAUGCGUUGAGCUAACCGGUACUAAUGAACCGUGAGGCUUAACCUUACAACGCCGAAGGUGUUU
rnacentral:rRNA from 1 species